AAAUUUUCACACAGAGCAUCUACAUCGCACAACUCCUGUGUCGAUAUGAGGACCGAAACGAGCAGGGAAGCACACAAUCAAUACGUGACAGAUUGCAGUUCGGUGUCGUGUGAUGGUGCGUUAGUUGCGGUUGGCUCCAAAGCUCGCUGCGGUGUCGCUGCCGUGUGGGGAGAGGCUGUCUUCCGGAACUCGGAAAAAUGCUUAACAUGGCAGCCCUUUCUCUUUUCUACCAUGACAUAAGUUGUGACAACAAGAACCUGCGAUACAAUCUCUUUGCUACCAAGCAAUCAAAAGGAACAAAGUACCCACAGGCAAUUACAAGGAAAAGGUACAACGGAAGGCAUCUGUACGAGGGCGAGCUGAAGAGUUCACGGGCGCCGAUCCAUCCAGAUAUACGAACACGAUCUCGUCAUCGUAGACACAAAGAGCCAGACGAAGAAGAAGAGCAAGGAAAAUGGCACCCAACGGUGUUACUAUGUGUUACGGCUUCGUUUUGGGUGACAUGCCUUGAAACAAAGAGAAAGCAGCAGGAAUACAAACCCACAUAAUCAUGAAAAGCGGGACAGGCAACGUGCAACCCGCUCGUUAGGCGGUGCAUGAAAACAAGAAGACCCUGUAGGACAGAGAGUCACUAUUGUUACAAGAAGACGCGACUCGCACAAAUGGAAACGUGGAUACAUGAGAUUUUCUUUUCCAAAUGCGCUUUUUUCGUCCACUAACAGCGGACUGUUAAGGGAAAUUUUCAUUCUACAUAGACAUUAACCCACACUAGACACACAGCGAAAAGUGAUAAAUCGUACAAUUCUAACAUGAGCCUAUGUACAAUUCAGCCUGUGUACAGUUCAAUGCAUAACAAUGCUGUGUUUACCAAUGCACAACAGUGUACAAUUAAAUCUACAAUGAAUCUCGUGGGUUAAGCGCAAUGUGCGGACAUACACACGCUCGAACGCCCUUCGCGGAAAAACGAAAAGAAAAUUAAAUUUUCCUGCAGCAAUAAUUUAUUUCCCCAUUUAUGUACGACAGACAUUGCUCAAUGAAACCGCAUUCCA